ensembl:misc_RNA
UGUUCAGGAAAAGGAGACUGUAUUUUUCUAUUUAUUUACAAUGGGAAUAGCACAGUUUGGAGGUGAAAAUACAAGUUUUCCUUAUUCUACCAUUGUGCCUCAACCCUGACCUGGAAUAAACACCUCUACGGGUGGGAGAGUAGUUCAUGCUUUAUGCCCAUUUACAGAAUGUGGCACU